UUGACGACGAUGAGAGGGAAGAGUAGAUAGCGGCGUCAUUACAGAGAGGAAAAUGCGAGGCUGAAACAUUUUCCAUGACAAAGCUGUUGAAGGUCGCCCUCGAGUCAUUUUCCUGAACCUUGCCCCAAAAGGGUAUGGCCUGGGGGAGCAUGCCAUGCUUUUAAGGCUUAAGGUGAGGCAAGCAGUAGGGAAAAUCGGUAGAGCCGUUAUCUCUUUGAGGGUACUUGCCAAGUCGGCGGCUGAUUCAAAGCGCCGGGUCCUCCGUGUGGACUCCGUGUGUUCAACUGGGGCCUGGCGGCUUGUGCCGGGAAAAGGUAAGUAAAAAAAGGUGGUACCGCGGAGUCUCUUCGUCCUUUUG
rnacentral:ncRNA from 1 species